rnacentral:lncRNA from 1 species
CAGAGCAUCACUUUUGACAACGACUAAUGGAUCAUACUACCUUUGUGGGAGUCUGAGAAUCCAGCAAAGAAGUUCCAACACACUUUUGGGGAAAAAAAAUCUGAGAAAAGCACACUAAAGAGGCUUUUGUGUUUUAGAUAAAGUGGCAGAUCUGAUUUGUUGAUAGCAAUUCCCUGGAGUGUUGCAUUGAGAAGAUUCUGAGGCCUUGGUCUACUAUCUGUGACUGCCAUGGAAUCCUGAGUGGAGCGAAAUUAAGUUCCCAGACUUGUUAUACCCUCCUGACUUGUUCUCCCCUUCCUUGGGAAGGGCAUCUGUUCCAGGCAGGUAACACCUGUCAUCCUGGCUGGUCUAGGUAACACCCAAUGUCAUGGCUGGGCAUUGGCUUUUUUCCUUAUCACACACACUUCUAAAG